GGGGGUGUGGCUCAGUUGAUAGAGCACUUGUCUAGCAUGCAAGAAGUCCUGGGUUCCAUCCCUAGCACCACAU
rnacentral:tRNA from 1 species